UACAGAGGGUGCGAGCGUUAAUCGGAAUUACUGGGCGUAAAGCGUGCGUAGACGGUUGCGUAAGUCAGAUGUGAAAGCCCCGGGCCCAACCUGGGAAUUGCAUUUGAGACUGCGUAGCUAGGGUGCGGAAGAGGGAAGCGGAAUUUCCGGUGUAGCGGUGAAAUGCGUAGAUAUCGGAAGGAACACCAGUGGCGAAAGCGGCUUCCUGGUCCAGCACCGACGUUCAGGCACGAAAGCGUGGGGAGCAAACAGG
rnacentral:rRNA from 1 species